UUGGAAUGCAGGGUGUGGCCCUCUAACACAGCAAAAAAGAAAUGAGUCAGCCCGUGCGAUCCUAACCAAUAAGCGUGUUCAUUGUCGGCUAAGGCGGAACUUGCCUGUCUUGAUUUAUAUCAGGCUUAGGAGCCCGGUACAGCCUUUAAAAGAGGUUUUUUCCCCCCCGAACUUCAGCCUUGAACAACUUCCAAGAACGCAGCAGAGGCUCUUUAAAAACUCUUUCAAAGCCAGAGUCAGUGUCAGGACAUGCUUGACCGGCGGGUGCAGAACCGAUCAUUCAUUCCAUAAGCCAAAUUUUCUCCAAAAUACUCACUGGCCAAAGAUAAAAUCUAAAGUGAGAGCAAAGGCCCUUCCUAAAAUGGGGUUUUCUUCAAAGCAGCAUGGAAAGAACAGAGCACCAGGACUCAGGAGCUCCAGCCCUCAUCCCAGCUGUGCCCAUAAGAGACCAGGAGCGUGGUGCGAGGUAUUUGAAUUAAAAAGCACAGUCACUAAAUACCCACGGCACCUGUCAUGUGCUGCUGCAAGUCUCCUUGACCUCGUCACUCCCGCCACACAAGGCACUUCUCUCUCCAACUGAUUUCCAAAACACUCACUGUAUCUCCUAUGACAUCGACCACAUCACGACCUGCGACUCCCAAGUACAGAGCACACUUCGGAGCGCGCUGAUCGACCACCGUGCCAGGCUGCAACCUCCCCACCCCCAAGGCCUACACACCUGCCAGCUCUCCAGUCAAACUCGCAUCCAUACUGGGGAUGCCCAGAAAUAGCAUCAGGUCCCUCCUGGGAGAGAAAUCAUAAAUCAGAAUAUUUUAUGUGUG